rnacentral:lncRNA from 1 species
GCCAAGUCCCAAGGCUUUAGCCAAACUUCCUGCCUUCCUGCCUGAACUACACGGUACUUUAGCCAAACUUCCUGCCCAUCUGUCGGUAUGCAGUUUGUACCGGCCAAAGUAAAAACUGUUGUGAAAAUUGGUUUACAUGGUCAUCACACACGACAGGAGCCCAGGAAGUAAACAGGCGGGAUGUGCAGGUCCUCUUGCAGGUCACCUUCGUUACCCUGCUGCUCUUUGCUCUGCUUUCUAAUCGUUGCUACACAAUUAGCCUGCUAAGCUUCUGCUGGAAAGAAGUCAGGAGAGGAGACUGGAUGUUGUGCCGUCAUUCUCUGCACUCAGAAAGCACUAGUGGAGAGGAGCAACUGUGCUGAACUUCUCCUUCUUUUACAAGAAAGAAUAAAGCAUGUCCAAGACACCAGAGAGGACAUCUACAAGUUCUGCAGGCUCAACAAAUAGCAAAGAUGUCACCCCCAAGGAUUCACCGGCUGGUUCACUUUCUGACACACCCAAGAAAUCAUCGAAGAAGUCAAAGAAAAGCAAAGACAACAUGACCAAAGUCUACACCUCUGUGCUGGACAGCGUCUUUGGUGCAGUAAGCAUCUGACCCCCCUCCCCCUUUUUGAUGUGCAUUUGGACUGUACUGUCAAAAGAAGUACAGGAGCAGUCAUUCAGGGCAAUCACAAGUGUCCUUGCUGGUCUUUGCUGGCGCAGCCACUAAUCCUCCCUCGUCCCCUGUCAUUAGUGGCUCAUUAGUUAAGGCUUACUGCCAGAGUUCAUUAGCAUUAGCCAGGUAGCACUCACUGAAUGUAGCUUUUUAAUUUUACAUCAGUCAAUUUAGAAAACUGUUAUUGUGUUACAUAUUAUGACCUU